GCAGUCGAGGGGCAGCACAGGUAGCAAUACCGGGUGGCGACCGGCGCACGGGUGAGUAACGCGUAUGCAACUUGCCUAUCAGAGGGGGAUAACCCGGCGAAAGUCGGACUAAUACCGCAUGAAGCAGGGAUCCCGCAUGGGAAUAUUUGCUAAAGAUUCAUCGCUGAUAGAUAGGCAUGCGUUCCAUUAGGCAGUUGGCGGGGUAACGGCCCACCAAACCGACGAUGGAUAGGGGUUCUGAGAGGAAGGUCCCCCACAUUGGUACUGAGACACGGACCAAACUCCUACGGGAGGCAGCAGUGAGGAAUAUUGGUCAAUGGCCGAGAGGCUGAACCAGCCAAGUCGCGUGAGGGAUGAAGGUUCUAUGGAUCGUAAACCUCUUUUAUAAGGGAAUAAAGUGCGGGACGUGUCCCGUUUUGUAUGUACCUUAUGAAUAAGGAUCGGCUAACUCCGUGCCAGCAGCCGCGGUAAUACGGAGGAUCCGAGCGUUAUCCGGAUUUAUUGGGUUUAAAGGGUGCGUAGGCGGCCUUUUAAGUCAGCGGUGAAAGUCUGUGGCUCAACCAUAGAAUUGCCGUUG
rnacentral:rRNA from 1 species